AGCAGUGUGGUGUAGUGGUAAGAAGCUGGGCUAGUAACCUAAAGGUUGCAGGUUCAAUUCCUUGCUGGGGCACUGCUG